GUGAGAGAAUUAGAGAUAGAAGGGUGAGAGAGGGAAAGAGAAAGAGAUAGAGAGAUAACAAGAGGGAGGUUUGGGUGAGAGAAUGAGAGAUAGAAGGGUGAAAGAGGGAGAGAGAAAGAGAUAGAGAGAUAACAAGAAGGAGGUUUGGGUGAGAGAAUGAGAAACAGAAGGGUGAGAGAGGGAGAGAGAAAGAGAAAGAGAGAUAACAAGAGGGAGGUUUGGGUGAGAGAAUGAGAGACAGAAGGGUGAGAGAGGGAGAGAGAAAGAGAUAGAGAGAUAACAAGAGGGAGGUUUGGGUGAGAGAAUGAGAGAUAGAAGGGUGAGAGAGGGAGGGAG